CCUAUGUUCGGAAUCAAGCUAUUGAUUUUCAGACAACCUGAUUCCCCUGAGUAGAGUAAAGAAUUGCUGUGUGUAGUCUUUGCCCAUCCCCUGUGAUGGGCUUUUUUUUUG
rnacentral:other from 34 species